ACUCACGCAGUCAUUGAUCGUGGCUCAGGAUGAACGCUAGCGAUAGGCUUUACACAUGCAAGUCGAGGGGCAUCACGGGAUUAGCUUGCUAAUCUUGGUGGCGACCGGCGUAAGGGUGCGUAACGCGUAUGCAACUUGCCUGUCAGUGGGGAAUAACCCGGAGAAAUCCGGACUAAUACCGCAUACACUUUAGUUUCCGCAUGGGGACUUUAGGAAAGAUUUAUUGCUGACAGAUAGGCAUGCGUUCCAUUAGAUAGUUGGUGAGGUAACGGCUCACCAAGUCGACGAUGGAUAGGGGAGCUGAGAGGCUUAUCCCCCACACUGGAAUCUGAGACACGGUCCAAGACUCCAUACGGGAGGGCAGCAGUGAGGGAAUAUUGGGUCAAUGGGCGAGAGCCUGAACCAGCCAAGUCGCGUGAAGGAAGACGGUCCUAUGGAUUGUAAACUUCUUUAGUAGGUGAGUACAAGCAGUUACGUGUAGCUGUAAGCAAGUAACCUAAGAAUAAGUAUCGGCUAACUCCGUGCCAGCAGCCGCGGUAAUACGGAGGAUACGAGCGUUAUCCGGAUUUAUUGGGUUUAAAGGGUGCGUAGGUGGCUUUAUAAGUCAGUGGUGAAAAGCUGUGGCUCAACCAUAGUCUUGCCGUUGAAACUGUGG
rnacentral:rRNA from 1 species